GUUUGUGUCUGUUUGUGCCUGUCUUGGAGUGAAAAUGUGAGUGUUUGCACAUUCCCACAAUGUGUUUGUGUGUGUGUGUGUGUGUGUAUAUGUGUGUGUGUGUGUGUGUGUGUGUGUGUUGUGUCGUUUGUGUGAUUGUUCUGCAACAGUCUUCUAGAAGAUAGCACAUUCCGGAGCUGUGGGGCGGUCGCGGCCUUCAAACACACAUUUGGACAGGAGACGCUUGACGAGAUGAGGGGGGUCACCCAGGGCACUUGGCAGGGAUCAAUACCGGUCCAUCACUCCCGGCUCCCCAGGCUUCGUCUGCCCACUGGACAAACACUUCACCCGCACAAACCACCUCUCUGAGUUGCGGAGGUUUAAAGUGGAGGAGACCAGAGGGCAGUGAGGGAUCUAUAUGAUGCGGUUGCCCUGGGAGACGUCUGACACCAAGCAAACCUGCCGUUGACCUUGGGAACGAAAAGCAAUCUCACUGCUGAUAGCACAGCAAAUCUUAGACUUCAAGAAAAGGUGUGCAGGUGUAAAUAUGUAUGAGGCGAUGUGGAGAAUAUCUUAAACCCACACCUGAUUUUAAUCACUUCUGAUAUAAAGGUUGCAUAAAGAUCACAAACAGGAUGCCCUCUAGGAGUCUGGAGUGCCUGAAAUCUGACCACUGGCGGAAAAGGGAAACAGGGAACACUUUAGAAAGACCUUCUUGGCCACGACAAUGCUUGAUGGUAUAGGUGAAGUAAAGGAAUCUCCCCUAAAAGCUUUAAGUCUCUUCGCACAGACUCCCAGCUGAGACUUUUGUCUGAAGAUGAGUGCCUACCAAGAACAAUACCCAUUGUCGUGCUUCCUGAAUAAUUGAGCUUAAAAGACAAAAGCAAGCAAUAAAAUACUAAGAAAAAAAAAAGCUAUGUAUAAAAGCCUUGGCUUUUAUCCUUAACAAAUCUACUCCCAUGUCCAUUUUG